GAUGAACGCUGGCGGCGUGCUUAACACAUGCAGGUCGAACGGAAAGGCUCCUGCUUGCAGGGGUACUCGAGUGGCGAACGGGUGAGUAACACGUGGGUGAUCUGCCCUGUACUUCGGGAUAAGCUUGGGAAACUGGGUCUAAUACCGGAUAGGACAACUUUUUGGAUAUUGUUGUGGAAAGCUUUUGCGGUAUGGGAUGAGCUCGCGGCCUAUCAGCUUGUUGGUGGGGUAAUGGCCUACCAAGGCGUCGACGGGUAGCCGGCCUGAGAGGGUGUACGGCCACAUUGGGACUGAGAUACGGCCCAGACUCCUACGGGAGGCAGCAGUGGGGAAUAUUGCACAAUGGGCGCAAGCCUGAUGCAGCGACGCCGCGUGGGGGAUGAAGGCCUUCGGGUUGUAAACUCCUUUCGCUAGGGACGAAGCUUUUUUGUGACGGUACCUGGAGAAGAAGCACCGGCUAACUACGUG
rnacentral:rRNA from 1 species